rnacentral:lncRNA from 1 species
ACCCACACACAUGCGCCCGAUGAUGCGGCAGCCGGCGAUAGACGCGUGCACCACGGGGAUGGUAUCGGAGAGCUCGCCCUCGAACACACUGUAGAAGCCCUCCACAGGCUGCGACUCAGCGUACAGACAGCGGAACUCCCGGUCAAAGUCUUCCACGAUGCGGCCCCUCAGCUGCAGCACCAUGCUAGUGUGGGCCUGGCUGCAAAGCCAGGUGAAGCUGGCCUGUAACUGCCCGCCACCACUUGCUCACAGUCAAUGAGGACGAACUUCUCCAGGGCCUGCCCCGUGAAGCGGCGGCCAGCCUUGCUGCAGUA